AUUGAACGCCGGCGGCAUGCCUUACACAUGCAAGUCGAACGGCAGCACGGGAGCAAUCCUGGUGGCGAGUGGCGAACGGGUGAGUAAUACAUCGGAACGUGCCCAGUAGUGGGGAUAACCGGCGAAGCCGGACUAAUACCGCAUACGACCUACGGUGAAAGCAGGGGAGUCGCAAGACCUUGCGCUAUUGGAGCGGCCGAUGUCAGAUUAGCUUGUUGGUGGGGAAAAGCCUACCAAGGCAACGAUCUGUAGCUGGUCUGAGAGGACGACCAGCCACACUGGGACUGAGACACGGCCCAGACUCCUACGGGAGGCAGCAGUGGGGAA
rnacentral:rRNA from 1 species